AAGGCUUUAGAACUCAACACCAACAAAGGGCGUCUUCUUCAACAUCAACAUCUGCUUCUUCUCCGGGGAAGAUUUUUUCUCCGGUGAAGGCUUCUUCUGUCUCUUUGCAUUCUACAGGUUGAAGAACUAAACAACUUCUCAUUGAAUUUCGUACCCUAUUUGACUCAAAAGUGUUCUACCAAGAGGUACUGACGCUCGUUCUGGUGACCCGCCAGCUUAGUACACCUAUUCUGCUGUUUUGGAGUGCUCCCUUGUUCUGGAGCCUACAUUCUGGACCAGGUAGCCAGUCAGACGAUUCACACCAGUAGGACCUCCCCUCAGCGGCAGUCGGUACGCUCCAUUGAUCUGGAGCUUCAGUCCGUUGGUAUGCCAUCUUGGUACGUACAUAUAUGGGAAAUGGAGAAGAGCAGGUUCUUGAUACUUCAGGCGCUUAAGAAGGACUUGUUGUUGCUGCUGACUUUGUGAGCCUACAUGUUCAUUCGUGGGACACCCCUUAGAACAUUCAUUUAUUAUUCUAGUUUUAGCGGGCUGCGUCCUGAUGUGUCAGACAAUUACUUUUUGUCUUAGAAGCUAUAUAGUAUACAUUCUUGUGGGUAGAUGUUGAGUUUUGUUUAACUCUUGGGCGUGUGACACGCUUGAUUAAAGUUUAUGUUAUUAAAGAC